rnacentral:misc_RNA from 1 species
GGAACUUUUCAUUUUUUCCUAAACAAUAUUACAUUACAAAGAUUAAUUUUUGCUCCCCUAAUCACCAUAAGAUAGUAAUACUGACCAAAGUGUGGGACUGAUGCAGAUAGAAGUGGACAAUGCCUGUGCUGCCAGUCAGUGUUUAAAAUGGAAAUUCACUUGAAGAAGAUAGCGCAUCCUAAUUUGAUCCACAUUGUAGACUAUAUACUCAUUAUACAACAAGGCACCCUUCCCACGCUGAUU